GUAAACAUGUGUUACUUCACUCCUACACACCGUUUAAACGCAGCUAACAGGCUUUCUGAAUAAACCAGCCCGCCCCCGGCGGUAUCAGGAGUUAGGUUCCGCAUAUGCUGUCGCCAGGCUGCAGCCGCCUGAGGGGACUCGCCCGGGGCCCCGCCCUCAGAGCUCACACCCGCCGUGCGCUCGCGCCCCAGGGGCCGCCCCCCGACACUCCAGUGCGACUCUGCGUGCACAGGCCAGAGGCUCAGAACCAGCGCCGGGCUGCCCUGCUCGGCCUCCUGGGCGCAGCGGCGUUUGCCCGUGCACGUGCCCUCGCAUCGCGCGCUCCGGGGCCGGGCUCCGGGCGGUUCUCGCCGCUGCAGUUCCACCGGGACUUCCGCGCUUCGGCGGCCUGUCUGACGAGCCGCCGCGCCCAGAGAGGUUCAGGUUGGAGCGACACUUGCCAGAGGGCAGCGGUCACGCCAGAUCUUCGGCUUCCAUUCCGUUUUCGCGCGCUUCUCCCUCUUUGCAAGGUGAGUGGAGCUCGUUUGUGGAUGUGUUAGCACAGGAUGCGGGAAUCCUGUGAAGCGAGUCAAUUCGGAGCCCGACGUGAACCAGGUGGGGUGGCAGCGGGAGCGCUCACAGGGUGGAGGCCCGUAGUAAGGACGCCAGUCCUCAGGGGACUCUCGGGCAUGAACGGCAGAGGACGGUGUGUGUCUGUGGGGACAGACGGGCAGCGUGUGGCGGGGUGUGUGUGAGAGACGCGAGUGAGCGGUGGGAUGCGCCUCCGUGCCGUGGGUGUGGCUGCGAGGCUGUGACAGGUGAGUGGCUGUGCUGGGGUGACGGGGAUUUGGUUGCGUGUCCUUCACCUGUGCGGGUGUGAUGGCUGUGGCUUUGUGGCGUCACUGUCUGGUGGCUCUGGGCUCCCUGGCGCUUCCUCCUCUUCUCUCCUCACAGCCACUUGGCUGCAAGAGGAAAGUAGGAUAUUGAGCCCUAAAGGAAGAUUUCCAGCCAGGGGGCACCGAGCUCUGGAUUCUCUUUGUUCUUUCCCAGUAGAGGAAUCCCAAGGAGGACUGAUCCGUUUUGGCAGGUGCACAACCAUGGUUCGCACUUAAGUAUCUCUGGUGAGAUGCCCCACGGACAGCUUUACGCAGCACACUAGGAGGUGGGCUUCUUGAAGAUCCAUUACCAUGGCUUACUCGCAGAGUCCUUUCACCCUAGGCUGAAUUCCAGGAUCUGAGAACACUCCUGUUUGCAGGCAAUGUUCUCCCCGGAAGGGCCAUAAGAGGAAUGGGCAGAACAUCCUGUUUGCAAGCCAGCUCAGCCGCAACUCAGCUCCAUGAAAUGUCCUGUAUGCAAGCACAUUCAUGUUCUUAGGCCAGAUCUCCUUCAAUGUUAUAUGUCUAUUAUAUCAAAAUUUUAAAUAAACGAA
rnacentral:lncRNA from 1 species